AAAGAAGUUAGAUUACGGAGAGGGGAGACAAACGUGAAUUCUUAAGGAAAGUUCUUAUACACUGACGGGCUUACUUCAGUUAGUAUCGAUUGGAUCUUCGAUUGUUUGGUAUCGUUCUUUUUUAACAGUGCAAUUAUUAAUUGUUACAAUGCAGUACAAGUUGUCGUAUUUCGAUGUAAUGGGUUUGGGCGAACCAAUAAGAUUCUUGUUAAGUUACGGUGGCGCCAAAUUUGAAGAUAUUCGUAUUGAUCGUGAACAAUGGGGAAAGUUUAAACCAGCAACUCCGUUCGGGCAAAUGCCAAUUUUAGAAUUUGACGGUAAAGUUUAUUCACAAACGUUACCGAUUUGUCGUUAUUUAGCGAAGAAAUAUAAUUUAAAUGGUAAAACGGAUUUGGACGAUUUACAAAUCGAUGCUAUUGCUAAUGCUCUUCACGAUCUCAGAAAACAAGUAGCACUUUUCUAUAGAAGCACUGAUCCCAACGAAAAGGCUAAAAGAAAGGAAGAAGUUUUAACCACAACUUUACCAUUUUAUUUAAAAAAGUUAGAAGAGCUGGCUCAUAAUAAUGGUGGUUAUUUGCAUGGUGGUCAGUUGAGUUAUGCCGACUUGUUCUUCGUGGCCAUUUCGGAUUCAAUUAACAAUGCCUGUGAGUUAGAUAUUGGCGAGAAUAAUCCUAAUUUAAAGUCUCUCAGGGAGAAGGUACUUGCAAUUCCAAAAAUUAAGGAAUGGGUUCAGAAGAGACCUAAACUGGAAUUUUAAGUAUUUCUAAUUUGAUAUCACUUUCACACACAAAUCUUAUUCUUUUUAAAGACGAGUAAGAGAUAUCGUGAGAUGUUACUGAAUACAAUGAAUAGUAAAUACGUGAAAGGAUAUCAAGUAUUCUUAUAAACCUUUGACGGUCAGUAAGUCGUGACCUAUGGAAUCGUACGUAUCGGUAAUACCGAUAAUAUGGGGAAUUAUAAUUUAUGGGUUGUCUUUUCCAUUACAAAAACAAGUUUAAUAAUAUUACUAAGCAGUGAGUCAUAUUUUCUAGUUAUUAAAAAAUGUAAAUUUUAUAUGGAGCACAUAUGUUAUAAUCAAUAAAAAUUUAAUGUACCGUGA